UUACUCGCGAUCCGCCAGGGAACUACAAGCACUGGCUUGAAACCCAAAGGACUUGGCGGUGCUUUAGACCCACCUAGAGGAGCCUGUUCUAGAACUGAUAACCCCCGUUCAACCUCACCCUGCUUUGCCAUUCCCGCCUAUAUACCGCCGUCGUCAGCUUACCUUGUGAGAGAUUAUAAGUGAGCGAGAUUGGUACAACCCAAAACGUCAGGUCGAGGUGUAGUGUAUAGCAGGGGAAGAAAUGGGCUACAUUUAUCAAUCGAUAA
rnacentral:rRNA from 1 species